AGUGAACGCUGGCGGUAGGCCUAACACAUGCAAGUCGAACGGCAGCACAGUAAGAGCUUGCUCUUACGGGUGGCGAGUGGCGGACGGGUGAGGAAUACAUCGGAAUCUACUUUUUCGUGGGGGAUAACGUAGGGAAACUUACGCUAAUACCGCAUACGACCUACGGGUGAAAGCAGGGGAUCUUCGGACCUUGCGCGAUUGAAUGCGCCGAUGUCGGAUUAGCUAGUUGGCGGGGUAAAGGCCCACCAAGGCGACGAUCCGUAGCUGGUCUGAGAGGAUGAUCGGCCACACUGGAACUGGGACAGGGUCCAGACGCCUAAGGGAGGCAGCAGUGGGGAAUAGUGGACAAUGGGCGCAAGCCUGAUCCAGCCAUACCGCGUGGGUGAAGAAGGCCUUCGGGUUGUAAAGCCCUUUUGUUGGGAAAGAAAAGCAGCAGGUUAAUACCCCGCUGUUCUGACGGUACCCAAAGAAUAAGCACCGGCUAACUUCGUG
rnacentral:rRNA from 1 species